UACGUAGGGUGCAAGCGUUACCCGGAUUUAUUGGGCGUAAAGCGUGCGCAGGCGGUAGGAUAAGUCACCACUGAAAUCUCAGGGCUCAACCCUGAUACUGGUGGUGAUACUGUCAAACUAGAUUUCUUGAGGGGGUACCGGAACAGUUGGUGGAGCAGUGAAAUGCGUUGAGAUCAACUGGAACACCAAAGGCGAAGGCAGGUACCUGGCAAGACAAUGACGCUGUUGCACGAAAGCGUGGGGAGCAAAACGG
rnacentral:rRNA from 1 species